AACUACAAAAUGAAGUCUAAACAACGUAAUUGACGAUUUAUUCACAUCUUGGUGAACGAUUAUUAAACACUUAAAAUAAUACAUAUUCAAACACUGUCCAUGAAAAACAUCUGCUGUUACCUUACCUGUGAUGAUUCCGCCAUCUCCAUCACCUGUUGCAGGUUGGUGAUUUUCUUUUGCAUUGUUGUAAAAGUUUCCGACAGUUGCUCGAAACUUUGCUGAUUUUCUACACAAAACCAAACCAUAGUAGAGGCACCUGCUGCGAAGACAAUGAUGAACAACAAAGCUGGAGAACUAUAGGAGUUUACGUUUCCAUAGAAUGGGUUUACGCUUCCCUUGGAUACGUUAACGCUUCCACUGGAUGGGUUAAGGCUUCCAUUGGAUGAGUUUAUGCUUUCCCUGGAGGUGUCCAUGCUUUCCUUAGGCUUUGGUACUGAAGACUCCAACACAACGGAGGAGUCUCCUUCCUGUGGCUUCUUAGACUUUCGCUUGGCCAUGGCAGCAGAGGAGGAGGACUGUAGAGCUGUGUGUCUUCAGUGUACUGGGUUCAUCAAACUGGAGGCUGUCGUCUGGAUCAGCAAAGGAGGGGUCCAGGUCAACGUGAUGCAGGUCUUGGUGGCACUCACCACUGUAGGGGCACCGGGUGGACCGGAGAGAACUGAGGAAUGACAAGAGGUCUAAUUAAUCAAGCAGUCUCUGAGCAGCAGCCGGCUGUGGUUGGGCUCCCUCACGAUCUUUACUCCUCCUCCGUCUUUGAUCUCAACACCAUCCUUAAACCAACUGACCACCAAACCCUCCUGAGGAGUUAAGGGCAUCUUGAAAGCAGCGUUCUGCCCCACUCUUACGAUCACAGGUUUGGAGAAUUUGUGAAGGUCAUCUGGGUCAAAUUCAGACGGCCCCUGUUUCCAAACGAUAAAGUCCAGAGUCCUCCUCACUGCAGCUUCGAAUUGACAGAGCUGUCGCAGUCGAUGUUGAUCUUCACUGUUAAGUCAGCUGGAUUUCCACGAAGAACAUAGACAUCAGACAGCCCACAGUAUUCACUGUCUGGCAUACCAGCUCCUGCAUCUGCAAGUGGUGGGUCAAGUCUUUUACCGCCAAUGUCUUCUUCAGCUGAGCGGCAUAACAUUAAAAACAUCACAUUCAUUAUCUGGCAUAGUAACUCCCACAUCCGCUACUGGAUCAAGUCUUUCAGCUGAGCGGCCUGACAGCAAUAACAUCAGUGCCUCUGGUUCCUUCACGAUUUCUAUCAACCAUCAGAACCAGUUAGUGGUUGCCAUAUCAACAAAUGAUCAUCACAGCAAGUGUUAUAUGCAAACGGCUACAGCAAAUGUGCCCAUUAUUGUUAUUACUUACUUUCCUUGAGACCAUUUCAAUUCCUCAAAUAAUUUCUACUAAAUGAAAUAAAAAUACUGUUGCUGCCAAAGGUGACAUUUUCCAAGUUAAGAUGUUGCAGUUAAUGGAGAUGAAAACACAGAGACUAAGCCCUCAAAUUCAGGAGUGUCUAACAAGGCUUCCAUGUUUGUGAAUUCAACACUGGUUUUCUUAAACCUUGUGGUCAGCUUUCUUACCUGGCUCAGGGUCUUUGGGUGCCUCAGGUUCAGGCUUUGUUGGUGCAGCUGGAGCUUCAGGGGCAGGUGCAGGAGGAGGUGGAGGUGGAGGUGGAGGUGGAGGUGGAGGUGCAGCUGCAGCAGCUUUAAUUUGUUCUUUUAUUUCCUCUCUCUCCUUUACUAAUUUAGUCUGCUGCUCUUCGGCUAACUUCUUCAGGUCCAACCCUGAUCCUCCUGCCUUUGUUGUUUUCCUUGCUGAUUUUUUGCCCUUUUGUGCAUCUUUAUCGGCUGAAUUCGAAGAAAUGAAGAGUGAAAAUGUAAAUUUGCUGUUAAUUACCUAAAAUGCCAUAAUAUGACAUGAAAAGCAAUAAUAGGCAGGAUGAAUUAGGCAUCUUAGUCUUGUUAUUAAUCCAUUAAAAACUAUUAUGAACAGUUUGGUGAAGUAUAAUGUCUUACCUUCAACAACAAGCCAGGCAUUACAAGACUUAAUUCCCGCGCAGACUGAAUAUAUUCCUUUGUCUACAAUCAUGCAGUCUUUGACCACCAGUGUGUGAAUGAGCUUGUCAUCUGAAACCAGGAUAUCAUAUUUAUCCCCCUGUUCCAGUGGCAAAUUCUUGCCAAACCACAAAGUCUUGGAGAAAGGGUUUGACAGGACACACUCAAAAACAGCAUCUUGUCUCUCUACUGCCUUCACUUCCUGAAUUUUCACCAAGAAAUCCACCAUGGGGACUGAAAAAUAAGAAGAAAUGUAUUUUAGACUAAAACUGUUGCGCUACAUCUGCCUUUUUAAAACGUUUAAAUGAUCAUAGAAAAAUGUUGUUUUCCUUUGUUUUAAUUAGGGAUACUAAUUUGUUGUUACUGUUACUUACUUUUGAAAUCAGUGGAAAACAUAUUCACCCCCUCUACAUCCAACUGGUACAGUCCAGCAUCAUCUGGCAAAAGGUCCUUCAUGCUGAAAAUAAACUU